rnacentral:rRNA from 1 species
CAGUCGCCGCGGUAAUACAGAGGGUGCAAGCGUUAAUCGGAAUUACUGGGCGUAAAGCGUGCGUAGGCGGUUUCGUAAGUCGGGUGUGAAAGCCCCGGGCUCAACCUGGGAAUUGCAUUCGAGACUGCGAAGCUAGGGUGCGGAAGAGGGAAGCGGAAUUUCCGGUGUAGCGGUGAAAUGCGUAGAUAUCGGAAGGAACAUCAGUGGCGAAAGCGGCUUCCUGGUCCAGCGCCGACGCUCAGGCACGAAAGCGUGGGGAGCAAACAGGAUUAGAUACCCCCGUAGUCCCUGUCUCUUAUAC